rnacentral:siRNA from 1 species
CGCCCGAUUGCCGACCCUCAG